AAUUAAAAACCAUAUGUCACAUUGUUUUACAAGCCAUAACUUGUAUUGUAUGAAAAUCCUUCUUGUCGAUCUCGCAACGGAGGCGUGGCUUAUUUUCCUUAUUUGGAAAACCGAUUCAACAGGAAGCUUGAAACCCACAUGUUUUGAACGGACGGAUUGUUUUUGUUGCAUGAGGCGAAGAAUGGCCUAUGUACCCAAGGAUUUCAGCAUAAAAGCAGAAUCGUACGACAUAACUUGACUAUGAGUUCAAGAUGACAAUGAUGAGAACAAAGAUAAGCCUAACACGUACAUUGCAAUAAGUGUCUGUGACUGCAGAAUGUAUGAACAGUUGGUAAUCCACAAGCUUUGUGUCAAAAUACGUCUUUUUUAACACAUAUUCUAUCGUCAUCCAGAAAACAUGGAAAACAAUGUGUUCAGGGCAAUAUAACUUUUUGAAAUGGAAUAAAGUAAACUUUCCAACCAGAUAUUCCACAGUGUGAUCAUGGUGAUGUCAAACAGCAUGUUAAAAAUGGUUAAAAAAAAUCUAGUAAGAUUCAGCUUAAAGGUUAAAGGAGGAACCAGUUAUUGACACCCACCAUUUCUUGCCUGUUUUUCUGGAGAGAAAGAAAACCCUCCAUUAAUAGAAUGCAGAAAGUGAAAGAUAUGGCUAAUUGACUGUUUAAUUUUAAAAUUAAUGGAACCUACAGAUGGAAACGUGUGUAAAGCAAAAACUUCAUUCAAUCUAUAAAGUAAUUCAACAUCUUGUAGCAGCCUCGUAGAGAUCGUUCUACAGCCAUACAGGUUGAUCUAAAGUGAACAGAUCUAACUUUCAACACAGAGAUUAAUCUAAACAAGUACGAUUUGAUCAAAAAAGAAUUUGUACACAUAUACAUUGUAUAUGUAUAGUGGAAAAAAUUACAUGUGCAAUUAAUUACAAACAGAAAACCAACAUAAAAGGGCUAAAAGUUAUAGAUAUCUGUAAAUUUACAUAAGAACAGCAGUAUCAACAUUUGAACAGUAACUUCAUCCAUUAAAUUUUUGUCAAGCUUGUGUAUCAAAACAUUAAUUUGAUUAAAUAUUUCUUUUUA